rnacentral:rRNA from 1 species
AGAGUUUGAUCCUGGCUCAGGAUGAACGCUAGCGGGAGGCCUAACACAUGCAAGUCGAACGGGAUUGAGAGCUUGCUCUCAUGAGAGUGGCGCACGGGUGAGUAACGCGUAUGCAACCUACCUAUAACUGAGGGAUAGCCCAUAGAAAUGUGGAUUAAUACCUCAUAGUUCUUUUGGUCCGCAUGGACUGAAAGAUAAAGCUCCGGCGGUUAUAGAUGGGCAUGCGUGACAUUAGCUAGUUGGUAAGGUAACGGCUUACCAAGGCUACGAUGUCUAGGGGUUCUGAGAGGAUGAUCCCCCACACUGGUACUGAGACACGGACCAGACUCCUACGGGAGGCAGCAGUGAGGAAUAUUGGUCAAUGGGUGAAAGCCUGAUCCAGCAAUGCCGCGUGAGUGAAGAAGGCCUUCGGGUUGUAAAGCUCUUUUGUCAGGGAAGAAAAAAAUGACGGUACCAUAGGAGGAAGCCCCGGCUAACUACGUGCCAGCAGCCGCGGUAAUACGUAGGGGGCAAGCGUUAUCCGGAAUCACUGGGCGUAAAGGGUGCGUAGGUGGCUCAUCAAGCCAGAGGUGAAAGGCAUUGGCUCAACCAAUGUAAGCCUUUGGAACUGACGAGCUUGAGUGCAGGAGAGGUAAGUGGAAUUCCUAGUGUAGAGGUGAAAUUCGUAGAUACUAGGAGGAACACCAGUGGCGAAGGCGACUUACUGGACUGUAACUGACACUGAGGCACGAAAGCGUGGGGAGCGAACAGGAUUAGAUACCCUGGUAGUCC